GUGCCAGCCGCAGCGGUAAUACGGAGGGUGCAAGCGUUAAUCGGAAUUACUGGGCGUAAAGCGCACGCAGGCGGUCUGUCAAGUCGGAUGUGAAAUCCCCGGGCUCAACCCGGGAACUGCAUUCGAAACUGUCAGGCUGGAGUCUCGUAGAGGGGUAGAAUUCAGGUGUAGCGGUGAAAUGCGUAGAGAUCUGGAGGAAUACCGGUGGCGAAGGCGGCCCCCUGGACGAAGACUGACGCUCAGGUGCGAAACGGGGGGGGGGGUGAGCAAACAGGAUUAGAUACCCUGGUAGUCCACGCCGUAAACGAUGUCUAUUUGGAGGUUGUGCCCUUGGAGGUGUGGCUUCCGGAGCUAACGCGUUAAAUA
rnacentral:rRNA from 1 species